rnacentral:sRNA from 1 species
UCGUGCCAAUUGCCGGGUCUCGUCUAUUUGGCUAUUUGUCCAGUUUUGGGCACAGAUCGCUGAGGCAAAAGCAAAAGCAACAGCAAAAGCAUUUCAAUGCUUGCCAAGUCAAAUACGAGCAUAUGUAAAUAUUAAUUUUAUUAAGCAAACGUGACGCGAACUCUUUUUUAAACGUUGACACGACAAUUGCAACCCACACACACACACACACUCACACAUGGACACACACAUACACACGCUACUUAGAUUAAACAGUGCGCGCAUUUCAUAUUUGGCUUUUCAAUUCACAAUAUUUAUGCCAUGCAAAACUGUUGUUUAUUGUAACUGUUAUAAGCGACACACCGACACACACACACACACACAUGCGCAUACACGCGGAGUCAGUGUGACAUCGUACCGGCCUAUGGCUACGUGCAGUCCAUCAAUGAGACGCAUCCAAAUGCGUGGGAAACGGCGCCGGCCUUGCUUUGAAGUUUAGCUUGAAAGGCGAUUUUUUUUUUUUCAAAGGCAGCAGCAACUGUGCACACUCAUCGCACACACACACACGCGCACUCACAUAAAUUGCACGGAUGCGGGCUAGUGAAAGCUGCUGACAAGUGUGACCCUGCCUAGCGCAUUGCGCAUUCGAUGUUCGUAUGCACGCUCACGCACUCACGCACGCAAGCGCACGACCGAUUUAUGUAUGUGCAUGCAGUGUGACCCUGCUAUGUGCCAGCAAUUAAAACCAAAACAAAUCGAAAAACGAACAAUCAAAACAAAAGCGCGCUAGAACGUUCGCGGCAAAUAAGGCUAAAUAACAUAAUUAUAGCAAUUAAUGAACCCGCAACGUGCUGUCAAUGCCAAAUGUAACAGACGAAAGCCAAUAUACAGUGCGCCAAUUAAGUCUUCGUACAGCAACAAUUCGUUUCUUGAGGAACCCAUAAAGCAGAUACAUACAUAGAUCCAAGUCAACAUGCCCGUUUACCCAUGGAUCUAUGUAUGUACAUACAUAUGUCAAUAUACCCGCUUACACAUGGCGCACAGUGUAUUCUGAAUCAUCGGCAACAACAAUUGGCGCAUUUCGUAGGCGACGCUCAACGACUUUUGGACUUCCUUUUUUGUGGGGCGGCCGCCACAUGAUUGUCGCCAUUGAGACUGCACGACAACGGCAACGGCAACGUGACGCAUGAGCAUGGGGCAGCAAUAAAGGCGGCAACAACAACAACAACAACAACAGC